UUCUUUUUUUAAAAUUCAAUAACUAUGUUCACAUCUGUUCACAAGUCUAGGAGAAGAUAUAUGCACAAAGAAAAGGAUAUACAGUCUUCCGCCUUCAUUCUUUAAGCUUCCUCUGUUUACCAAAAGAGUAUUUUUGGUAAAGCAGCUUCACAAUCUCCCUGGACAUUAUGGAAAUAGAAAAGAGGACUGCAGUUGCUCCAUUCACCCCAUGAAGCUUGAUGAAUGAGUUAAUAAAUGGAGGAAGAGGAGGUCAUGGUGGAGGAGGAGGAGGAGGAGGAGGAAGAAGAAGAAGAAGAAGAAGAGGAGGAGGAGGAGGGGGGGGGAAGCAACUCCAACAUGGCCAGGCAUGUCAACGCUGACAAUUUUACCUGUAAAAAUGAUUUAUUUGUACUGUUUCUUAUGGGCAACACUGUCCCUGUCUGCCCCUUGCCAAGUCUUAGCACCCCAACUAAUCACCAUAAGCUAUCUUGUUCUGAGUGGAAGAUGAUGUUAAAGUGCACAAUUUAAUUAAAAUAUGAAAACAUAAA